UGGCUACUCAUCCUGUCACAGGUAAGACAGCUACUCAUCCUGUCACAGGUAAGACAGCUACUCAUCCUGUCACAGGUAAGACAGCUACUCAUCCUGUCACAGGUUAGACAGCUACUCAUCCUGUCACAGGUAAGACGGCUACUCAUUUGAAUCUAUUAGUUUAUCUCAGAUAGGCGAUACAGUGCUAAUAAAUUAGAAUGUUCAUUAGAAGUUAGAAAUAGCUGGAUGUAGUAGUGGUACAUGUCUUUACUCUCAGCACUCAGAAGGCAGAGGCUGGUGGGUCUCUGUGUGUUCAAGGGUAGCCUGGUCUACAUAGUGAGUUCCAGGACAUAGAGAAACCCUGUCUUGAAAACAAACACAAAAAACUGAAAGAAAAAUUUAGAAAUAUAUUUCUAACUUUGGUACUCAAGUGACAUUUAAAGGAAGAAAAGCUAAUUUAUGUUUUGUGUCUCAAAAAAGAAUGUAUAGGAUACAUACAAAGCUUGCUGCCCCACCCUUCCACCUUCAGCCUGACCAUCUCCACCCUCUUUUAGCUGUCCCUCAGUAUGAGUCACUGACUGGAUGAUGCUGUUCCUUAAAGGACCAUCUGUUGACAUUGCUCUGUGGAAGACAAACCUCUGCCACACAUGUGCAACUUCCUGUUCCUGUAGCCUCUUAAAGGCCAGUCUGUUUCCAUUUGCAGGACUUUGAAUGUUGGCUACACAGGAAGCCACCCUAAUUCAAUCUAGCUUUUCUUUUUUGUGUGCCAUAAGCCUAUUUUCUUGUGCUUAUCACAAAGUUAGCUUGUGUUUUGAACAGUAGUUUAAGCCCACUCAGGGUUUUUUUCUGACACAUACCAGGGUACCAUCUUGAGCCUCUGACUUAACCCAUCCUGGACUAUAGAGACUUCUUCACUCCUGAAGUGCCAGCCCUUCAGGCCUAGAGAGACUGUCUGUGCUGUGGAUGGGUGCUUCUGUCUUCCCACCUUCCUCUUUCCUUCACUCUUUUGUUAGUAUGUAUUCCAGUAGUUUCCUGAGAAAGACCAGGUGUGCUAUUAAAAAAAAUUCCCAUAACCUCAAAGGCAUAUGAAAGUGUCAUUUUCCUUAAGUGUUUUCCUAGGCCUAUUUCUUCAUUGUCCUGUCUUUGAGUAUAGUUGUUCAAAAUUGUGAAGGCAUAGGCCUAUGAGAUGGCUCAGCAAGUUAAGUGCAUGUUGUGCAAGCCAUACCUGAGUUCAGUCCCUAAAAUUCACAUAAGAUAGAAGGUGAGAGUUGACUUCACAAAGAUGUUUUCUGUCCUUUGUGUGUGUGUAUACACAUUUUGAGAUUUGAUCUCUCAUAGGUCAUGUUUCUGCCUUCCCCUUCUUUCCUUUUCUCUUUCUCUCUAGUAUCUUGAAAUUUCACAGUUAAUGUGUUCAGAAGUUUUCAAGCAUCAUAAUAGCCCUUGUAGAUUCUAGAAACUCGUAGUUCUGAGUUGAAAAACUUGAGUGGUUUUACUCUUCUCCUGACUCGGAUCCAGUCAGUAAGGGAAUGGCGAGUGAUACUCUGUGGUUUGAUAAAUCACGCGUGGCGUGUGGGAAAUCUAGGUGAGCAGAUUGCUGUGGGUUCAUCUGAAAUAUCCAGGCCCUGGACGGCCUUAGUAGGAAGAGGUCAAAUAGAAUUUAGAAGCUGUAUUAUAUCUGAAAAGUUUUUGUGAACACAUUUAUUAUGUGUUUCUCUAGCUGUAUUCAACUGUAUGAUACAGCCAUGUAGUCAAGAAAGAGUUAGACUUCACCAGGGCAAAGGAUGUAGUGGAUAUAUAAGACCAUGAUGGUCAUGUUGAACCUAGAAGUUAAGCUGGAUGACCAGUGUUGAGGGGACCUCUAAGUAGAGAUUAGGUAUAGUUGAAAGAAGAUAGAUCAAUGACUGGAAGUGAAUAUGGCUGAGGAUGUUAGGGCUAGGGUUUUAGAGAGAAUGAAUUGGGAGAUGAGCAUUCAUAGGAUGUGGAACUAAAUAAUCUAGGGAGUAUGGCUAUCUAAUGAAGUCAGUUAUAUGGCCAAAGGAAAAAGAGGUAGAUGGCAGGAUCCUUGAAGGGCACGUGUUCAGAAAUUGAGGUACCUUAUGGAAGCAUGCCACUACUCUGGAUGUACACUGAAAUGCCAAAGACUUAAGAUAGGGGUAUUUUGGGAGUGCAAGUCAGGAGCUAACAUGACAGGCACAGCACCUCAGUAUAAAUAUGAGGUAAUUAGAUAUUCGUUUGAACCGAUGAGAUUAAGAACAGAGACUUCAGGGAGUAAGUCUAGGCUAGUUCAGCAACAGCAAGGAAAGCCUGAGAGCACUAUUGCAUUUCUAGGCUGAGGUAGGAGGCUGUGAAGACAUAAGUAGCAGCACUUAGUGGGGCUACAGGAAUGGCAGGACUCUGUGAGAGUACCCAGGUGCAAGGUGUACUCUGGGACAAGGCUGUGACAGGAGCAUCGGCUGGUAGCAGGCUGAUGCUUCCAGAUGCAUUGGAGAAGUUUGUGGGGUGAAGUUAGGCAUGGCCAGGGCCUUUGGGGGACAAGUGCUGAAGAGGAGGGAUGCCUCUUUGUAGGUGUGAUAGAAAUGAUGGGAUAAUAACCAAGUUCUCUCGAAGCAAUCCCAUGGUGCAGAGGGCAGAGGUGCCUAGGAGGUAUGCAGUCCUCGAGUCUGAAAUCAGCACUUGCCCUUCCCAUUGGGCAGUGGCAAAACUAGUGUUUAGCCUCCUCUUGAUCCCUGGCAGCAGAGUUGAGGUCACUGGGGAAACCAGCCACUAUGGAUAUAUAUUUUUGUAUGUUUAAAGGUAUCUAAAAAACUAAAAAAGUCCUAACUGCCCAUGAAAAAUUUCACUUUAAUGAGACUAGGACAAAACUACUCAAAAGAUGUACUUUUGUGCAAACACACACAAGUAAUAAAGAAUAGAAGUCUUUAUUAGGACACCUAGUUUCUGAGGCUCAUUUUCUGUUUAUAUCAAAUGCCUAGGACCAUUUGUCUCAUAGGCAAAAUAGUGCUCAAGUGGUUUGUAUGCUUUGCUAAUUAAAGUAAGACGGAUCUGCUUUGUUUAUGAUAUGGCCACUAGACUUCAUCUAAGAGAAUUGGGGUUAGGAGAUGGUCUUAUAGCACUUGGUGUGCAGCAUAUGGCCUGGAUUUGAAUUCCAAGUUGUAGCCAUCAUAGCAUGUUCAGUAAUCCCAGGGAAGUGGACACAGAAGGUUUGCUGGAGCUUGGUGGCUAGCCAGCCUAGCUAAAUUGAUUAGCUCCAGGUUUAGUGAGAGAUCCUAAUCUCAAAAUAACAUGUACAACAAUUGAGAAAGACAUCUGAUGUAGACCUCUCGCCUCCGUGUAUGCAAACAUACAUACAUCCACACAUGCAAACUCAAGACACUUAUCUUCCAUCCCGGCCUGGUAAUACAGAUCUAAAAUCCUAACUACUUGGGAGGCUGAGGAAAGAGAAUCCCAAGUUCAGGGUCUUCCUGGGCUGCAGAGUGAAUGCAAAGCCAGCCGGAGCAACUUAGUGAGAGCCUAUUUCAAAGUAAAACAGGGCUAUGGCUACAACUCCAUGUUAGUUUUUGCUUAGCAUGCCUGAGGCCCUGGGCUUCACCCUAUUAUCACCAAA